rnacentral:rRNA from 1 species
GAUGAACGCUGGCGGCGUGCUUAACACAUGCAAGUCGAACGAAGCAUUUAAGACAGAUUACUUCGGUUUGAAGUCUUUUAUGACUGAGUGGCGGACGGGUGAGUAACGCGUGGGUAACCUGCCUCAUACAGGGGGAUAGCAGCUGGAAACGGCUGGUAAUACCGCAUAAGCGCACAGUACCACAUGGUACAGUGUGAAAAACUCCGGUGGUAUGAGAUGGACCCGCGUCUGAUUAGCUUGUUGGCGGGGUAACGGCCCACCAAGGCGACGAUCAGUAGCCGACCUGAGAGGGUGACCGGCCACAUUGGGACUGGGACACGGCCCAGACUCCUACGGGAGGCAGCAGUGGGGAAUAUUGCACAAUGGAGGAAACUCUGAUGCAGCGACGCCGCGUGAGUGAAGAAGUAGUUCGCAAUGUAAAGCUCUAUCAGCAGGGAAGAUAGUGACGGUACCUGACUAAGAAGCUCCGGCUAAUACGUG